rnacentral:rRNA from 1 species
GAUUCGUCACACUAUCAUUAACUGAAUCCAUAGGUUAAUGAGGCGAACCGGGGGAACUGAAACAUCUAAGUACCCCGAGGAAAAGAAAUCAACCGAGAUUCCCCCAGUAGCGGCGAGCGAACGGGGAGGAGCCCAGAGCCUGAAUCAGCAUGUGUGUUAGUGGAAGCGUCUGGAAAGGCGCGCGAUACAGGGUGACAGCCCCGUACACAAAAGCGCAUGUGCUGUGAGCUCGAUGAGUAGGGCGGGACACGUGGUAUCCUGUCUGAAUAUGGGGGGACCAUCCUCCAAGGCUAAAUACUCCUGACUGACCGAUAGUGAACCAGUACCGUGAGGGAAAGGCGAAAAGAACCCCGGCGAGGGGAGUGAAAAAGAACCUGAAACCGUGUACGUACAAGCAGUGGGAGCACCCUUCGGGGUGUGACUGCGUACCUUUUGUAUAAUGGGUCAGCGACUUAUAUUCUGUAGCAAGGUUAACCGUAUAG